AACGAACGCUGGCGGCAGGCUUAACACAUGCAAGUCGAGCGCCCCGCAAGGGGAGCGGCAGACGGGUGAGUAACGCGUGGGAAUCUACCCAUCCCUACGGAACAACUCCGGGAAACUGGAGCUAAUACCGUAUACGCCCUUCGGGAGAAAGAUUUAUCGGGGAUGGAUGAGCCCGCGUUGGAUUAGCUAGUUGGUGGGGUAAAGGCCUACCAAGGCGACGAUCCAUAGCUGGUCUGAGAGGAUGAUCAGCCACACUGGGACUGAGACACGGCCCAGACUCCUACGGGAGGCAGCAGUGGGGAAUAUUGGACAAUGGGCGCAAGCCUGAUCCAGCCAUGCCGCGUGAGUGAUGAAGGCCCUAGGGUUGUAAAGCUCUUUCGCAGGUGAAGAUAAUGACGGUAACCUGAGAAGAAGCCCCGGCUAACUUCGUGCCAGCAGCCGCAGUAAAAC
rnacentral:rRNA from 1 species